rnacentral:misc_RNA from 1 species
GAUGAAGAACGUAGCGAAAUGCGAUAAGUAAUGUGAAUUGCAGAAUUCAGUGAAUCAUCGAAUCUUUGAACGCACAUUGCGCCCGCCAGUAUUCUGGCGGGCAUGCCUGUUCGAGCGUCAUUUCAACCCUCAAGCCCCCGGGCUUGGUGUUGGGGAUCGGCGUGCCCUCGCGGCGCGCCGUCCCCUAAAUCUAGUGGCGGUCUCGCUGUAGCUUCCAUCGCGUAGUAGCUAACACCUCGCGACUGGAGAGCGGCGCGGCCACGCCGUAAAACACCCAACUCUUCUGAAGUUGACCUCGAAUCAGGUAGGAAUACCCGCUGAACUUAAGCAUAUCAAUAAGCGGAGGA